UGGAAUUCUGAAUUCAAACCUGGCCUCCCAGCUCUUAUGAAAGUAUAUAUGUCAAGGAAAUUCUGAGCACAUGAGGUCAACCGUGUCUGGGAGAGAAGGAAUGUGUGGCGUGGAGUGGCCAGCGUCCCCUCCUCCAGGGAGGCUGGGAGGAUCCGGCUGCGGGCACAUGUGUUUGCUGAGUCGGCCUCCUCAAGAGUGGAGAAUGGGGCAUUCGCAAGAGGUUUUGAGCUGAUUCUUCUUGACUUUCUGGUCACUAGGAGUGUCUACUCUGCCGUGGGGGCUGGGCCCCUCCUGACUCAGAGCGGGCCCCUCAGCCUGAAGGAGCCCGGGGAAGACCUGCUCCAGCUUGGCGGAGUCGUGGUGCCCUGGGGAGGCAGAGACUCGGCUGCUGGCCGCGUUCCGAGCAGCUGGAAAGAAUCCUCCCCGUCUUGGAGAGAAGCCUCUACUGGACCCGAACCAGCGAAGGCAGGCCCAGGCGUCUGGGGAAAAGCCACCAGUGGGGCCAGCCCUGCUCCCUGCAGGGGAGCUGCCGUGUCCGUCGCAGAGGAACUUGGCUUCCAGUCCGGUGAUGCAGGGAUUCUGGGGGAUGUGCCACUGCUUUUCCUUUGGGGGCUGAGGAGCCCACCUAGAGAAGGUGGCCGAAUUCCAGCCUCGGCCUGCUAGAGGUUUGGGGGUCAGCGGGCAGCUGCUCGGAAGUAGGAGCCGUGCUCCCGGGGCCCCUGGGGAUAAGGCUUUGUAACGCGGAAGUGACUACCUUGCCAUUGCUGGGGAGGCCGGCUUAGGUGGGAGAAUUGCAAAUUUAGCUACAAGCUUUUUCUCUAGUACUUGUCACCCUCAAAAGCACCUUCCCCUUCUCCUCCCUUCAUGUUCAGCGACAUUUACAGAGGCUGUGUUAGUUUCCCGGGGCCGCUGUAACAAAUCGCCACAAGCUGGGUGACGUCCGACAGCAGAACUUUAUUCUCUCACAGUUGUGGAGGCCAGAAGUCGGAAACCAAGGUGUGGGCAGGGCUGUGCCCCCUGGGAAGGCUCUGGGCGGGGACCCUUUCUCGCCUCUUCUGUCUUCUGGCGGCUCCGCGUGCUCCUUGGCUUUUGUCUCCAUCGGUUUGUUCCCUGCCUCUGUCUUCAGAUGGCCCUCUCCUCUUCUCAUUUGUCUGUCUCUCCUCUUUGUGUCUCUUAUAAGGACACUUGUCACUGGAUUUAGGACCCACCUGGAAAACCAAGAAUGAUUUCAUCGUGACAUCCUUAACCUAAAUACAUCUGCAAAACAUUUUUUUCCAAAUAAGGUCACAUUCACAGGUUCUAGGAAUUAGAACAGGAACAUACAUUUUGGGGACCACCAUUCAACCCACUGCAGAGGGUUUCUGUAAACCAGGCCCCAGGUGAGUCCUUAGAUGGUCAAGUGCAGAGAGCACUUGACUGCGAGGCAAGCCUGCCAGGUCCCACUCCUGCCUGCAAAGGUGGCCUCCCCGGGCCUUAGUCCGCCUCAUCCACAGGAUGGCUGAGCGAGCUGGAGGGCUCUUCCCUCUGGCACCUACGUCCCAGUCCAGACCCUGUCAGUCCGAUACGUGGGAGGGACUUUGGUCUACUCUGAUUUUACAACAGAAUACAUAUAUACACACACAUACGUAUAUUUUUAUUGUAGUAAAAUAUACAUAACAUAAAAUUUACCAUUUUACCCAUUUUUAAAUGGCGUUAAGUAUACUCUCACUGUUGCGCAGCCAUCAGAAAGGUGAAGCAGGAAGGCUCAUGCCCGGCCCUGGCCUCAGAGCGUCUUUCACGAGCAAAGCGUCUUACAGGAAAUGUCUGCACCACACGGUCCACCAUUCACACUUCUUUACGGAGCUCUGAGAAGCAGGACCCAAGAAGGGGAGGCAGACAGGACUGAGAACAGGGAGAGCCCAAAGCAAUAGCCCAGGACCAGUGUGACCCAGUGACCCCAAAGAGGAUGGCCACCCCUGCUCCCACACUGGAGACUCUACCCUGUCGUGUCACCAUGUCGGCCACUUCCUGCCUUCCAGGCACUCUUUUUCCCUCUACACCCAUAGUUCUCAAAGUCUGGCCCCUGGACCAGCAGCAUCAGCGUUUCCUGGGAACUUGUCAGAAAUGCACACUCUCAGUCUCCUCUCCAGAUGCACUGGAGCAGACUCUGGGGGUGGGGCUCAGCAUCUGUGUUUCAACAGGCCAGGUUGAUUCUGAUCCACGCUAAAGUGGGAGAACGCUGCUCUGGAUUUUCAGAGAAAUCCUGCUUUGGAAGAACUUACUACCUCCUCUGCAGAGCCACCAUUUUUAUUACUAGAAGCUUCAGGAAUAAUUAAAACAAGGAAGCUGACAGAUUCAGUAAGAGCCUGUGAGUCAAAGAUUGCAAAUGGGCUGCCCGAGGGCACAUCUUAUUCUUGGAUUUGUUUGGCCUGCACAUAUUUUAAAAAAUUUAAUUAGUUGCUAGCGUUAACGAAGUGGGAAAUUUCACAUAGAAAUCCAGAUUUCAAUAUUUCUUGAAAAAGUUGGUGUGUCUGGCACUCCUGAUACACCCUGUUCCCACGUGACAGUGGACAGGAGCAGAGCACAGCCACUGUGUUUCAAUGAGGCAAAG
rnacentral:lncRNA from 1 species